rnacentral:misc_RNA from 1 species
ACAAACAAUAACCAAAACUUCAAAUAUCGUAAUAAAAGUUAAUUUCCCCCGAUUAUUUCUCAAACGAGCCGCGAAAAUAAAAGCUUAGAGGUUUCAUGGUGGCCAUAGGUAUUUAAUGAAGCUGGUGCAUCAAGAAGAACAAUGACAGAUAUGGCAAAAGUUUCGGCCAAACUUGAGGACGUUAGUGUCCUGAAAGACAAGAAAAAAGAAGAGGCUACAAAUAGUGAAAGAAAGAGAGGGAAUUAUCUAUAUCUUAAAGAACAUUUUAAAGUAACUUCUUUUAUCAUGGAGUCUGGCUGUAAGCUCAGACUGUCGGCAGUAACAGUGUCAACAGCAUGUGUCUUGUACCAUCGUUUCUGGAUAGAAUCUGUAUCAUUAUGCAAAAAAGAGGACUUUGAUGCUGAGUCGAUUGGAACUGCAGUUCUAUUUUUGGCAUCUAAAGCAGAAGAAUCUCCACGUAAAUUAAGAGAUGUUAUCAAUGUCUGUUAUAAGACCACUCACAAGAAUGUACCAUUUCUCGAGGUUGGCAACAGGUACUGGGAGUUAAGAGACAGCAUAGUCAACUGCGAGUUAUUGGUGCUUAGAGUCUUAGCGUUUAAAGUGGAUACUGACAAGCCGCACAAGUACCUUCUUCAUUACCUCAAAUCUUUACAAGAUUGGGUUGAACCGGACGCUUGGCGCUUAAGCCAAGUAACCCAAUUAAGCUGGUCUAUACUCCGAGACAGCUACCAUAUUCCUAUCAUUCUUAAAUAUCCACCAUCACAUGUAGCUAUUGCUGUGAUUUACUUUGCUAUACUAUGUACUGGAAUGCAAGUCCCUUCACAUGAAGCACAGAAGACUUGGUGGAAGGCAAUGUGUGACACAGCCACUGAGAAAGAGCUUCAAGACAUAACAGAGGAUAUCAUGGACUUGUAUGAUUUUGAGAGCAAGCCGUUAUGACAGUACCUUAACAUUUAGGGCAAGGACAUACUAGAAACUAAAGCAUUUGAAAUAACAGCUCAUCAUGAAAUUGGUUUUUCACUGCUGCCAGUCAAGAACAUAAAAGGUACAUGUACUGUCUAUUUUUGAUUGAUGUCAGCUAAAAAUCAAAUUUCAGUGUACAGCUCACACCUAUCAAGUUCACAGAAUAUCGAUAACUGCGCUAAAUACUUUCAAAUUGUGUUCAUUUGUAUUAUUUCUCACGGUCCCAUGUUGCAUCUCUUUUUCCAAAUAAGAUUCUUUAUUUUUGAACUAGUUUUCUCUCUACUCAAGGGAAUGACAUGUAGUCUUACUGCGGUUUUCCCUAUUCUGCGAACUCCGUAGUUACAAGUUGCACGCUGCCGUCAGUCAAAUAUGAGUCGGUACCUUUUAUGUUCUUGACUGGCGGCAGUGAAAAGCCCAUUUCACAACAAGCCCUUGGAAUGUUCUCAGAAUAUGGAAAACUGCAUGUUGCAAAGGUAUAACCUUGGUAAUGAAUACUGGUAUCCAAGGGGCUCUCUGAUCCUGUACAAAAUUAAGGGGCAUAAAAAGGGGAAAGGGAGUAUUUCUGAGUAUCUUUUAUUUAUAAAAUCAAAAAAUUAUACAAAUUUAGUCCAUUAAAAAUUAUUUUAUUUUAUUUCUUUGUCAUAUAAGUACCAGAAGCCAAAGUUUAUACAAUUUUCUAGAUAUCUUUGUGUGUCUAAAACAUAGUGAAAACACUAAAAGCUUGAACAAUCACCAACCAAUGUGAUGAAUCCUCACAGAGAGAAAGAUAGUCCACCUUAUCUUAAAGCUUUUCUAUAAAUAUUUAUUUGCAAUGAAGCAAAACAGACUGUCAUUUUAUACACUAGAGUGUAGCGAUAUAUAUUUUCGUAUUCAUUUAUCUAGUAGACAAUAACAUAUUUUGUUUCAGAUUGUUAACUUGAACAAUAAAUCUAUUUUUAUCAAAAUUGGAUAUUGAAGAUCAAGGAUAUUGCCUGCAACAUAUUGCACCACUGUUGUCCAAUACUUACAGUUAAACUAAUUAAAUGCUAUAGACUGCAAAA